rnacentral:rRNA from 1 species
UAGUCCACGCCCUAAACGAUGAGUGCUAGGUGUCUGCCUUUAUGGUAGGUGUCGUAGCUAACGCGUUAAGCACUCCGCCUGGGGAGUACGGUCGCAAGAUUAAAACUCAAAGGAAUUGACGGGGACCCGCACAAGCGGUGGAGCAUGUGGUUUAAUUCGAGGCAACGCGAAGAACCUUACCAGUCCUUGACAUCCUAAUCGCGGUUUGUAGAGAUACAUUCCUUCAGCUCGGCUGGAUUAGUGACAGGUGCUGCAUGGCUGUCGACAGCUCGUGUCGUGAGAUGUUGGGUUAAGUCCCGCAACGAGCGCAACCCCUAUUGUUAGUUGCCAGCAUUAAGUUGGGGACUCUAACAAGACUGCCCGCGUAAGCGGAGAGGAAGGUGGGGAUGACGUCAAAUCAUCAUGGCCUUUAUGCCCAGGGCGACACACGUGCUACAAUGGUACAUACAGAGGGUUGCCAAGCCGCGAGGUGGAGCUAAUCCCAGAAAGUGUAUCCCAGUUC